CCUUCGAUAGCUCAGUUGGAAGAGCGUGGGACUGUAAUGUGAACAGAAUCAUGUGUUGCCUAAGCACGUGACUAAAUCCCGAGGCCAUCGGUUCGAUCCCGAUUCGAAGGA